CCUACGGGUGGCAGCAGUGGGGAAUAUUGCACAAUGGGGGAAACCCUGAUGCAGCGACGCCGCGUGAGUGAAGAAGUAUUUCGGUAUGUAAAGCUCUAUCAGCAGGGAAGAAAUAGCGACCUUUGGGUCGCCAGACGGUACCUGACUAAGAAGCCACGACUAACUACGUGCCAGCAGCCGCGGUAAUACGUAGGGGGCAAGCGUUAUCCGGAUUUACUGGGUGUAAAGGGAUCGUAGACGGCAGCACAAGUCUGAAGUGAAAUGCCGGGGCUUAACCCCGGAACUGCUUUGGAAACUGUGCAGCUAGAGGGCAGGAGAGGUAAGUGGAAUUCCUAGUGUAGCGGUGAAAUGCGUAGAUAUUAGGAGGAACACCAGUGGCGAAGGCGGCUUACUGGACUGUAACUGACGUUGAGGCUCGAAAGCGUGGGGAGCAAACAGGAGUAGAUACCCCAGUAGUC
rnacentral:rRNA from 1 species